GAUGAACGCUGGCGGCGUGCCUAACACAUGCAAGUCGAACGAAGCGAUUUCAAUGAAGUUUUCGGAUGGAAUUGAGAUUGACUGAGUGGCGGACGGGUGAGUAACGCGUGGGUAACCUGCCUCAUACAGGGGGAUAACAGUUAGAAAUGACUGCUAAUACCGCAUAAGCGCACGGAUCUGCAUGGAUCAGUGUGAAAACUCCGGUGGUAUGGGAUGGACCUGCGUCUGAUUAGCUAGUUGGUGAGGUAACGGCCCACCAAGGCGACGAUCAGUAGCCGACCUGAGAGGGUGACCGGGCCACAUUGGGACUGAGACACGGCCCAAACUCCUACGGGAGGCAGCAGUGGGGAAUAUUGCACAAUGGGGGAAACCCUGAUGCAGCGACGCCGCGUGAGUGAAGAAGUA
rnacentral:rRNA from 1 species